AGAGUUUGAUCCUGGCUCAGAUUGAACGCUGGCGGCAUGCCUAACACAUGCAAGUCGAACGGAAACGAUGCUAGCUUGCUAGCAGGCGUCGAGUGGCGGACGGGUGAGUAAUGCAUAGGAAUCUACCUAAUAGUGGGGGACAACCUGGUGAAAACCAGGCUAAUACCGCAUAAUCCCUACGGGGCAAAGCAGGGGACCUUCGGGCCUUGCGCUAAUAGAUGAGCCUAUGUCGGAUUAGCUAGUUGGUGAGGUAAUGGCUCACCAAGGCAACGAUCCGUAGCUGGUUUGAGAGGAUGAUCAGCCACACUGGGACUGAGACACGGCCCAGACUCCUACGGGAGGCAGCAGUGGGGAAUAUUGCACAAUGGAGGAAACUCUGAUGCAGCAAUGCCGCGUGUGUGAAGAAGGCCUUAGGGUUGUAAAGCACUUUCAGUAGGGAGGAAAAGUUUAAGGUUAAUAACCUUAGGCCCUGACGUUACCUACAGAAGAAGCACCGGCUAACUCCGUGCCAGCAGCCGCGGUAAUACGGAGGGUGCAAGCGUUAAUCGGAAUUACUGGGCGUAAAGCGCGCGUAGGCGGUUAAACAAGUCAGAUGUGAAAGCCCCGGGCUCAACCUGGGAACUGCAUUUGAAACUGUUUAGCUAGAGUGUGGUAGAGGAGAGUGGAAUUUCAGGUGUAGCGGUGAAAUGCGUAGAUAUCUGAAGGAACACCAGUGGCGAAGGCGGCUCUCUGGACCAACACUGACGCUGAGGUGCGAAAGCGUGGGUAGCAAACGGGAUUAGAUACCCCGGUAGUCCACGCCGUAAACGAUGUCAACUAACUGUUGGGCGGGUUUCCGCUUAGUGGUGCAGCUAACGCAAUAAGUUGACCGCCUGGGGAGUACGGCCGCAAGGCUAAACUCAAAUGAAUUGACGGGGCCGCACAAGCGGUGGAGCAUGUGGUUUAAUUCGAUGCAACGCGAGACCUUACUACCCUUGAAAAACAGAAAACUUUCUAGAGAAAAGAUGGUGCUUCGGGACUCUUGAUACAGGGCCGCAUGCUGUCGUCAGCUCUGGUCGGGAAUGUUGGGUAAGUCCCGUAACAGGCCACCCUUUUCUUUAGUUGUCUACACAUUAUUUGCCUCUAAGGAACUGCCGGUGUAUAACCGGAGAAGGUGGGACGACGCUUCAAGUCUAUCUUGGCCUUAUUGUGUAGGUUACACCGUCUCUCAUGCGGGUCAAGGGCGCCACUCCGAGAGAGAACAUUCCUUUAAACCGCUGAUAUUCCGAAUGGCA
rnacentral:rRNA from 1 species